GCCCCUGUGGCGGAAUUGGCAGACGCGCUAGCUUCAGGUGCUAGUGGUAGCAAUACCAUGCAGGUUCAACCCCUGUCGGGGGCACCA
rnacentral:tRNA from 1 species